CUACUUUCUUGUUGGUCACUCAAACUUAACUUGCGACCUGAAUGGACAGUGGGAUGGAAGUCCACCUUCCUGUGAAAUUGGUCAUUGUCCAGAACUGGUUCCUCCUGUCAGUGGGUCAUUAUCAACAACUGAGACAGCCUGCAGUACAACUGUAGGCAUUAUGUGUGAUGAAUGCUAUGAGGCUAGCAUUGAUUAUUUGACCUGCUUGCCUGGUUUUUAUUGGGACCAUAACAUUCCUCCUACUUGUGAAUUGGUCUACUGCCCAUUGUUGACGACACCAUAUAAUGGUACAAAGAGCUCCGAGGACACUAAGUGUGGUGUAACAGUCGGUUUCAGUUGC